rnacentral:rRNA from 1 species
GGAAGGCCCUUCGGGGUACUCGAGCGGCGAACGGGUGAGUAACACGUGAGUAACCUGCCCCUGACUCUGGGAUAAGCCCGGGAAACUGGGUCUAAUACCGGAUACGACCACUUCAGGCAUCUGAUGGUGGUGGAAAGAUUUCUCGGUUGGGGAUGGGCUCGCGGCCUAUCAGCUUGUUGGUGGGGUAGUGGCCUACCAAGGCGACGACGGGUAGCCGGCCUGAGAGGGCGACCGGCCACACUGGGACUGAGACACGGCCCAGACUCCUACGGGAGGCAGCAGUGGGGAAUAUUGCGCAAUGGGCGGAAGCCUGACGCAGCGACGCCGCGUGGGGGAUGACGGCCUUCGGGUUGUAAACCUCUUUCAGCAGGGACGAAGUUGACGUGUACCUGCAGAAGAAGCGCCGGCUAACUACGUGCCAGCAGCCGCGGUAAUACGUAGGGCGCAAGCGUUGUCCGGAAUUAUUGGGCGUAAAGAGCUCGUAGGUGGCUGGUCGCGUCUGCCGUGAAAGCCCGCAGCUUAACUGCGGGUCUGCGGUGGAUACGGGCCGGCUAGAGGUAGGCAGGGGCAAGUGGAAUUCCUGGUGUAGCGGUGAAAUGCGCAGAUAUCAGGAGGAACACCGGUGGCGAAGGCGGCUUGCUGGGCCUUACCUGACGCUGAGGAGCGAAAGCGUGGGGAGCGAACAGGAUUAGAUACCCUGGUAGUCCACGCCGUAAACGU